ACGGAGGAUCCAAGCGUUAUCCGGAUUUAUUGGGUUUAAAGGGAGCGUAGGCGGGAGUUUAAGUCAGCUGUGAAAUGCCGUGGCCCAACCAUGGAUGUGCAGUUGAAACUGGGCUUCUUGAGUGUACAUAAGGAAGGCGGAAUUCGUGGUGUAGCGGUGAAAUGCAUAGAUAUCACGAAGAACUCCGAUUGCGAAGGCAGCUUUCCGGGGUACGACUGACGCUGAAGCUCGAAAGUGCGGGAAUCAAACAG
rnacentral:rRNA from 1 species